UACGUAGGGGGCAAGCGUUGUCCGGAUUUAUUGGGCGUAAAGAGCGUGUAGGCGGCUUUACAGGUCCGCUGUGAAAACUCGAGGCUCAACCUCGAGCUGUCGGUGGAAACCGUGUGGCUAGAGUCCGGAAGAGGAGAGUGGAAUUCCUGGUGUAGCGGUGAAAUGCGCAGAUAUCGGGAAGAACACCCGUGGCGAAGGCGGUUCUCUGGGACGGUACUGACGCUGAGACGCGAAAGCGUGGGGAGCGAACAGG
rnacentral:rRNA from 1 species